rnacentral:rRNA from 1 species
UACGUAGGGGCCUAGCGUUGUCCGGAUUUAUUGGGCGUAAAGAGCUCGUAGGCGGUUCGGUAAGUCGAAUGUGAAAUCUCCACGCUCAACGUGGAGGGGUCAUUCGAAACUGCCGUGACUUGAGUACGGUAGGGGAGUGUGGAAUUCCCGGUGUAGCGGUGAAAUGCGCAGAGAUCGGGAGGAACACCCGUAGCGAAGGCGGCACUCUGGGCCGAUACUGACGCUGAGGAGCGAAAGCGUGGGGAGCAAACAGG